CUGUGUCUGAGCCGAAAGAACCCAUGUGUGGAGCUCAGCUGGGUGUCUCAAAGAUCACAUCUCCCAACACAAUUAAAACUGCAGAGGGUCAAACUCUCUGAUUUCUUCUCAGGAGUGAGGGAGGGGGCAAGUGGGGGAGCGAGACAUUCUGAGCUGUGGUCAUGGGUCUCAGAGGGUGCUGGAUGGGGGUGAGGAGGUGUGUGGGACAAGAAGGGCUUCGAGGAAUAUUUUGAACAGCACAGGUAGAAAGUGCGGCUUGCUAGAAAACUCUAUGCACAAGAUGCAGGAUUCUGGCCGAUUGGAAAUCACUUCUCUUUCUUUGCUUCCGUUUCUCUGGAUGAAGACUGAGAAUGAAUGAAACUAGCAUUUGACAGCCAUCUACUGUGCGCCAGGCCCCUUCCCACACACGAUCUCCUUACUCCCUCCCAGCCCCCAGUCCUGUGUGGUAGGUAUUGUCCUUGUCUUACAUGAGAGAAGCCCGAGCCUCUGACAUUAGGGCAUUUUGUUGUUGUUCAGGAUCAUAUAACUUGUAAACAUUGGGCUGGGAUUUGAUUCUGAACCCAUGUUCCUUCCUCUACACGAGUUACCUCCCAAAGAGAGGUGCCCACCUCUCAGAAAGAAAUCUUGGCACGAAUGGCGUUUACCUCUUCACAAGCUAGACAAGUAAUCGAUGCAGUCUGAAGCCAGUGACAAUAAAGAUUAAGCUGGAAAAUAUGGCUUGUGGAACAGUCGAGAGAUUUGGGGCAAUGGGGAAAAGGUAUAUGUCUACUGCCUAUUUUGAAUUAGAUUUUAUAUCUGAUGAAGGGUGAUUCUUGCAGCAAACAAUUGAAUACAAGCCUUUCACGGGCAGGAACCAGUGUCACGUGCCAUGAGAGAUAUUAAGCUGAACCGUAAGAAAUUUCUACUUUUGUAUAUUAAAACCAGUCAAAUAUUGGCAUUUUAAUGGUUCAACCUAACAUAAAAGUGAGAAAGUUUUUCUUUCGAGCUCAAACUCGAAAGAUAUGUACAAGAUAUUUACAACCCAAAGGAGGGAAUAAGGUAAGUAUCUGGAGGUCGGGACUAACCUCUGAUCUCACGGUGGGACAAAUAUUAGACAUCAGGAUGGAUUUUAGGAGGGCUGCAACUGUACUGACGCCCAGUGGUGGUUCAGAGGAAACACCCACGAGGUCAGGGGAAAUAACACACAAUAUCAGCAUUUGAGGGAAAAGUAAGGAACGGAGGUUGCAAUCUUCACUAAAGGCAGAGCUUGACAGGUGCUUUCCUAGAGAAACCCAGGAGUACCUGCUUCUAUUUCUGCAGCUGUGAGUGUCUUCAGGACGUUUAAUUUGGGCACAUCUGCACAUCAUAAAACACAGCUUCUCCUUGGCAAAGAGAUCCCUAGGUUUCGGGUAGUAGCGAGUCAGGCAGAACUAAAUGAGAGGCAAUCAGAGCUGGGCUAAAAGAAAAAAAAAACAUACUUGUAUAUGCUGGACUUUCCAGCCUUUGCAGAAAGGAUACAGAAACAUGAACUGGCAAGAAUAACCACAAGGAGUUUCAGGGCUCCCCUAUCUGCCUUCCUUGCUAUUCCUUCUAGACGGUACCAGCAACUCACAGCUUCCGCAGUCUCAGAGGGAGGCUCGCGCUUCCCCUUCGUCUCCAGCAGGGGGCAGUAGAGGGCAGC